UCUCGAAUCAGGUAGGACUACCCGCUGAACU
rnacentral:rRNA from 1 species